UACGGGGGGGGCAAGCGUUGUUCGGAAUUACUGGGUGUAAAGGGCUCGUAGGCGGCCAACUAAGUCAGACGUGAAAUCCCUCGGCUUAACCGGGGAACUGCGUCUGAUACUGGAUGGCUUGAAUCCGGGAGAGGGAUGCGGAAUUCCAGGUGUAGCGGUGAAAUGCGUAGAUAUCUGGAGGAACACCGGUGGCGAAGGCGGCAUCCUGGACCGGCAUUGACGCUGAGGAGCGAAAGCCAGGGGAGCAAACGGG
rnacentral:rRNA from 1 species